AAAAGAUUAAGCCAAAAAUAAAUUAAGCUUAAUUAAAAUAAAUUAAAUGGAAUAAUGUGAAAAAUGGAGGCAGAGGUGUGGAUAGAAACGCUUGGGCCACAAGCCCAAGCUUCAAACAACCAAAACGAGUCCACGCAUUCAGGUCAACAAAUCCAAGCCAGGACAAGAAAAACUCAGCAACUGCACAAGAGCUUCCUUCAUCUUCAUACGCGUUCUCUCACUCUCGAAGAAGUUUCAAACGAAAGCCAAAAAAUAAGCUCCGAAUUUUAUGCUCCAACACCAAAACCAAAAUCAUCAUUCAUCUCUCAACUUCAAUUCAUUUUUGUGUGCGCAGAAUCGAGGAGGAUGGAAUCGAUAAUUGAAGCAAGAAACCUUACCGAAUCGGUGUUUCGACGCGGUAGCUACAGUGGAUUCUAAUUGAAUUAUUUAUGGAAGGUGGGAUUGGAUUGUGUUUGGAAAUGCAUGGAUUGUUAAAUGAAGGAUCCUAUGCUUGGACUGUGGUAACUUGUUGUUAUGGAACUUUUAAUUGUGUAUUAAAAUUGGACUGUGUAUGUAUGAAAUUAUUAUGGGAUUUGAAUGCUAUAUUUUGGAAUGGUUUGUAUGUGCAAUUGUGUGAUGGAACUUUGAAUUUGAAAUGUACAAAUUGCCGUGAGUUAGUGUAUUGGUUUGAAAUGGACAAGUAUUAAAAAUGGUCAUGAUGUGAAAAUAACAUGGAUUAUGGUUUGUAAUGAAAAUGGACAUGGAUUAUGUGAUUUUUGGAUCUUGGGGUUUUAUGUGGGUGAUGGAUAGCAUGAUAAGACAGUUAGGGAUUGAGCGAUGAUAGCAUGAUAAGUUAACUUUGGUCAACUUGUUGACCAAAAAGUCAAUCGUUGACCAAAAGUCAACUUAUGCAAAAAAAUGAUGUAAUUUUGUAAUCUUUUCCUCAACACAAUGUAUGGACUAUACAAUGAAUGCAAUGGACUUCUUUUGUCAAACAA